rnacentral:rRNA from 1 species
AUGGGAGAGGAUAUCAGCGAGGAGGAGUUCCUUGAUUACCAUGACAAGCUACCUCGCAUCCCUCAUUAUAUUGUUGCUCGUAAACUGACAAAUGAGGAGCUCGAUGAGCAAGAUCUUCGCCACGCACUGUACCGCCUCAGAUCUUACAAACACAAGCUGAAAGAGGAGGGAAAGGAAGAUACAUUUGGCCUUAAGGACAUUUCUGAGGCCGACUGUGAUCAAGAGUUCUUAAAGAAACAGAGAUUUUUCAGACGAUUCGAGGAAAUUUCCACACUUGAUUGGUAUUUCCACCCUGAUUACUGCAAAGGGGGUUCCCUGAAUGACUACCAACGCCUAGUCCUUCGAAAUUAUGGCGGUUCUGAGUACGCCAGGUGGAGUGAGUACCAUGAGUUCCUUCAUAGCCAUGACGUUGAAGAAGAGUAUGUCAAGUUCUGUGAGGAAUUGUUCAAGAAGCUAGAGUGGAUGGAAGGUUAUCUAGAUUUUCCCCGGCCAUCUCAUAAGUGGGAUCGCAUAUCUUCCCGAGGAGCUUUACAAGCAAUUAAACUUGCAGCUACUACCUUUCAGAAGAUCACUGCGUCUUUAGCUUACUAUGGCUACUUUGAGUGUAAACAGAGCAUUGCCUAUGACCGUACUUGGUACAAGGAGUUAGAUGGUGUCCAUUUUGAGAUUUGGUGUCGGGUCACUGAGAAACAGAUGAGUUUCAGAGAUGCUCUAGCGGAGGUUUGUGCGCUGAACAGGUUUCCAUUACGCCAACGUAGAAUGGAAGGUGCACUGAAGCGGGACUACACCAUGGAGAGAUUGGAAUCGGAGUACCAUACCUGCACGGCAAAGGUUCCCCCGGGAACUGAAAAGGACAAGGCUAAGGAGUUGAUUGCAAAGGCAGUUAAAAAUCGGCUCAAUAAGCCAAAGACCUAUGUGCAGUAUAUCAGCAAGAAGAUACACAUUGCACACGUUGCUGGAAUCCUUCCUCUGAAGGAUUCGAAGGAACAAUGUAGUUAA